rnacentral:rRNA from 1 species
AUUGAACGCUGGCGGCAGGCCUAACACAUGCAAGUCGAGCGAGCGGCGGACGGGUGAGUAAUGUCUGGGAAACUGCCUGAAGGAGGGGGAUAACUACUGGAAACGGUAGCUAAUACCGCAUACCAUCAGAUGUGCCCAGGUGGGAUUAGCUAGUAGGUGGGGUAACGGCUCACCUAGGCGACGAUCCCUAGCUGGUCUGAGAGGAUAACCAGCCAACCUGGAACGAGAACACGGUCCAGCCUCCUACGGGAGGCAGCAGUGGGGAAUAUUGCACAAUGGGCGCAAGCCGGAUGCAGCCAUGCCGCGUGUUGGAAGAAGGCCUUCGGUUUGUAAAGCACUUUCAGCGGGGAGGCGUUACCCGCAGAAAAAGCACCGGCUAACUCCGUGCCAGCAGCCGCGGUAAUAC